rnacentral:rRNA from 1 species
AGCGAACGCUGGCGGCGUGCUUAACACAUGCAAGUCGAACGUGAAAUGUAGCAAUACAGAGUAAAGUGGCGUACGGGUGAGUAACACGUGGGUAAUCUACCAAAGUGUCUGGAAUAACCGAUCGAAAGGUUGGCUAAUACUGGAUAGUUCAAGCUUGUUAUAAUGGCAAGAUUGGGAAAGGGAGCUGGCAACAGCCUUCGCAUUUUGAUGAGCUCGCGUCUGAUUAGCUAGUUGGUAAGGUAAUGGCUUACCAAGGCUGAGAUCAGUAGCUGGUCUGAGAGGAUGAUCAGCCACACUGGAACUGAAACACGGUCCAGACUCCUACGGGAGGCAGCAGUGGGGAUCUUGCGCAAUGGACGAAAGUCUGACGCAGCCACGCCGCGUGAGUGAAGAAGGCCUCGG